UAUGUGGUGAAAGGGCUCAGGCCAGCCGGCACAGACGAUAGUCCCAUCUCCGAGCAGUCCACCAUGAUAAAGAUGCCAUCUUCCUCACACUGGCAAGGGGCUGGGCAGAAAGGUGCCUCUGAUUCCCGUCUUUCCUGGACCUGUCCGUAGCCCCAUGCUCCAGGAGAAGACCCCCAGCUUCCAACUGCAGCGCAGAAAAACAGUGCCCCAAGCAGCAUGUCUGACUCUCCACCUGUCUGCAUCUACACCUGCAUAGGACUUCCGAUCUGUUCUAUGAACUGUCUUUCGAGGAAGCUGUGAUGAACUGUUUCCUCUCAGAUGUUCCUGUCUUCUUUUUUUUUUAACCUCUAAUUCUCCCUCUGUGGGUUGUCCACACUGUAAAUCUGUCCUGUCAGAUGACCUGCUUCUUCAUCUCUAUUAAUCUUCCUAUUUCCCGGCUUCUGCUUUACUCCCCUAGAGUUCUGCUUUAUAUUAACUUCUCUUUUGUUCCAGUCUUCCUUCUUUUUCCAUAAACAAUAUUUUUCUUCAAGUUGGUUUCUGUUUUUCUUUGUCCUUCUCUCUAUCUCUGUGGACAUAUAUAUAUUUAUAUAUAUCUGUUGCUCCGUGUCUCCCUCUCCUUACCUAUUGUAAGAGAAGUAAAUGAGCCAACCUCAUUGGCCCACAAUUUAGGGAUGGGCUGGAGCAUCUCCGGAAAGUGGGAGGAGUCCACAAUUCUCAAACUUCCAACUCUUCCCUCUCUUUUUCCCCUCUCUUCCCUCUUCUAAUUUUGCUCUGCGUUGAAUUUUGGUUUUAGCCUAGAGGAUAAGAAAGUUAAUUUGCCGAAGGUUAAAGAGAGAGUCAGAGAGUAGAUGAUGGUAAAGACCGGUCCUGAGCUACAGAGGACUACAAGCAGACUUUCUUAGAUUAAGGACUCAAACAGCUGAAUGAACUUGUGAGAGUGUCCAACUGGCGGGGACAAGUGGUGGAGAAAACUGAAAUUCUGACACUUCAGCACCCUUCAGUUCCCAGAAGGAGCCGAAUCUAGUGUCUCAUCCUGAACAGUUCUGCCUCUGGACCUCCGAGCCUGCCUGUUCCCGUCUGAUCUGUUUGCUUGACCUGUCUUCGGACUCCUGCUGGAUCUCUUCCUUUCUGUGUACGGAACCUGGAACUGUUACCCGACUCCAUUCUGGAUUCUCCCUCAUCACCUCUUUGGAUCUUUGACAUCCUGGCUCUGACAACUGAGCAUGUCACCGACAACGGCUUUGCUUCGCCCUCUGGAUUAUCCUGCCUACCUUCAUUUGCUCGGUUCUGGUCUCCUGUCUGUCCUCCUACCACCGAUGUAUCAGCAUCUGAGAUUCUCUUGAGAAAUCUGUUUGUCCACCUCGAAUAUUGGAUCCUGUCAUUCAAAGCCUCACAAAUUAUCUAAAAUUUAUAUAACAUGAGAAUGUUUUAAUUUCUUUUUCUUGGCUCCACUUUUAUUGGUAUUCUCAAUACUGCUACUGAUACUCAUACUCAUACUGAUACGCAUUGUCUUCUGCUUAUCAGGGACCGGCGAAAGUAGUCUGAGUAGAGACUCCCAUACUUCCCGCUCCCCAGACACCUCCUCCAGCUCCUCUUGGAAUAACGUAUGGUGCUCCCAGGCGAGCUGAGAAAUGUAGUCCCUCCAGCAAGUCUUGAGGUGUCCUCCAGUCCUCCUCCCAGUGGGAUGUACCUUGAACACCUCCGGAGGGAGCUGUCCAGGGUGCAUCUAGAACAGAUGUGCAAGCCACCUCGGCUGACUCCUCUCUGUGUGGAGAAGAGGCUCUACUCCGAGUCUCAGCCGGGCAACCAAACUUCUCAUCCUUUAUUUAAGGGUGAACCCUUCUGAGAAGGCUAGUUUCUGCUACAUGUAUCUAGGAUUUUGUUCUUUCAGUCAUAAUCCAGAUUUCUGUAACCAUAGGUGAGGGUAGGAACAUAGUUCGAUUGGUAAAUUGGGAGCUUUGCUUUCUGCCUAAGGUUUCCCUUUAACACAACAGACUGGUACAGCAUCCACAUUAAAGUAGCAGCCAUACCAAUCUCUCUCUAUAUCUCCUUCUCCAUCCUCCCCUCACUUGAGAACAGAAGUCAAGAUACUUGUACUUGUUGAGCUUUCAGUGCCCCUGGAGUGGCAGACUGGGGUUGUGGUUCCUCUUCAUAUGAAAGGGGACAGGAGUGUGUGUUCUAACUGCAAAAUUUCCUUUUGUAUAUACUCUUUGUAUACAUAAUGACAAUAUAAGUUCUCCAAGUCUACAGGGGAUCACACACCUUAGCCUCUAAAGGUAAGCCUGUGUGAGGAUGAGCAAUGUGGUAUUAGUCAUUGCAAUAGAACACUGGUCAGUACUAGCAAUGUAACUGUUUCCAUAAGAGUGCCCUCUGGGGGGCACUCCAAGAGGAGGGGGUACAGGUAUAAAGUUAGGGGUUAAACUAAGACAUGAUCAAGAAUUUAACAAUAGCCUCAUCCUAUAGCACCAUAACUGUGGAGAUAGCAUAGGAUAACCCGAGCCACUCUAACUAAAAGCUUUUUCAAAAAGAAUGCUUUAAGCCGAAUCUGUCUGCCUCAUGAACUGAAACUGGAAGUUUGCUCCUUAGGAGAUGAACCUGAUAACUAAAAUAUCUGCCUCCCAUUCUACUUAUAGUCCUAGGAACCCCUGUAGACCUGUUAAUUGAGAGCCAAGUCCUUUAGGAAAAGUGAGAAAAUCAGAUCUCUAAAAUAAUGUUUGUCAGAAGAAUGUUUUAUAUUCUGGAUUUAAAAGCAAAGGUAAGGAAAGGAUACUAAAAUAGGAGAAAUAUGAUCUCCCUUUAAUUAUCUUCAGAAUUCUGCCUGCAGCAUUUUGGAUCAGAUGAAGGCUAUUGACUACAACGUCUAGACUUCCUGAUUGAAGAGUUAGAAUAAUCCAGUUUUGAAGAAACAAAUGCAUGGACUAGUUUCUCUGCAUCACCACGGGAUAGUUAUUUCUAAUUCUUGCAAUAUUGUGCGGAUGCAAGAAGGAAAUGGCAAGAAACCGGUUUAAUAUGGAAUGUAAAUUACAAAUCCUGAUCAAAAAUAAAACUAAGGCUUUUUACUAAAUCAUCUUCAUCCCAGUUUAUAAAAUAAACAAAUACUGUACAACUGCAAAAGGGUUGUGGAUAGUUUCCUUUUGAGGAUGUUUUAAAUCCCAUCAAGUCUGUCUGAGAGAGGUGUUUUCCUUUUGUCCUUUUGUUCAUAAAGUCCACAUUGGUGAUACUGUAACCCACAUUCCUCAGGGGAAUAUGGUCUGACUGUACAUGCUGGAGACUGUUUGGUGUCUUAAAGCCUUCGUUUCUGUAACAAAAUGUCAAACCUUAAUGUGUUGAAUGUUACUGAAUAGCUUUAUUUAAGGUACAACAAUCUAAGAAGUAAAGUCCUUGCAUGUCAGGCUACUUUGAUGCAAAGUUAUGGGUGCGUGUUUUCUUUGAAAGAAACAAUUGUAAUAACACUGAAACAGUGAUUUUUUCUCUUUAUUAGUCUGCUGAUAAGCAUUUGGAUCCUGAUAGCUUCAGAAGCGCAUCCAUGGAUGCACAAAAGUCAAAUUAAUUGUGCUUUUGCAAUAAAAAAGUUAAAGUUAAAAUUAAAA